rnacentral:rRNA from 1 species
GGGUUGUGAGGUUAAGCGACUAAGCGUACACGGUGGAUGCCCUGGCAGUCAGAGGCGAUGAAGGACGUGCUAAUCUGCGAUAAGCGUCGGUAAGGUGAUAUGAACCGUUAUAACCGGCGAUUUCCGAAUGGGGAAACCCAGUGUGAUUCGUCACACUAUCAUUAACUGAAUCCAUAGGUUAAUGAGGCGAACCGGGGGAACUGAAACAUCUAAGUACCCCGAGGAAAAGAAAUCAACCGAGAUUCCCCCAGUAGCGGCGAGCGAACGGGGAGGAGCCCAGAGCCUGAAUCAGUGUGUGUGUUAGUGGAAGCGUCUGGAAAGGCGCGCGAUACAGGGUGACAGCCCCGUACACAAAAAUGCACAUGCUGUGAGCUCGAUGAGUAGGGCGGGACACGUGGUAUCCUGUCUGAAUAUGGGGGGACCAUCCUCCAAGGCUAAAUACUCCUGACUGACCGAUAGUGAACCAGUACCGUGAGGGAAAGGCGAAAAGAACCCCGGCGAGGGGAGUGAAAAAGAACCUGAAACCGUGUACGUACAAGCAGUGGGAGCCUCUUUAUGGGGUGACUGCGUACCUUUUGUAUAAUGGGUCAGCGACUUAUAUUCUGUAGCAAGGUUAACCGAAUAGGGGAGCCGAAGGGAAACCGAGUCUUAACUGGGCGUUAAGUUGCAGGGUAUAGACCCGAAACCCGGUGAUCUAGCCAUGGGCAGGUUGAAGGUUGGGUAACACUAACUGGAGGACCGAACCGACUAAUGUUGAAAAAUUAGCGGAUGACUUGUGGCUGGGGGUGAAAGGCCAAUCAAACCGGGAGAUAGCUGGUUCUCCCCGAAAGCUAUUUAGGUAGCGCCUCGUGAAUUCAUCUCCGGGGGUAGAGCACUGUUUCGGCAAGGGGGUCAUCCCGACUUACCAACCCGAUGCAAACUGCGAAUACCGGAGAAUGUUAUCACGGGAGACACACGGCGGGUGCUAACGUCCGUCGUGAAGAGGGAAACAACCCAGACCGCCAGCUAAGGUCCCAAAGUCAUGGUUAAGUGGGAAACGAUGUGGGAAGGCCCAGACAGCCAGGAUGUUGGCUUAGAAGCAGCCAUCAUUUAAAGAAAGCGUAAUAGCUCACUGGUCGAGUCGGCCUGCGCGGAAGAUGUAACGGGGCUAAACCAUGCACCGAAGCUGCGGCAGCGACGCUUAUGCGUUGUUGGGUAGGGGAGCGUUCUGUAAGCCUGCGAAGGUGUGCUGUGAGGCAUGCUGGAGGUAUCAGAAGUGCGAAUGCUGACAUAAGUAACGAUAAAGCGGGUGAAAAGCCCGCUCGCCGGAAGACCAAGGGUUCCUGUCCAACGUUAAUCGGGGCAGGGUGAGUCGACCCCUAAGGCGAGGCCGAAAGGCGUAGUCGAUGGGAAACAGGUUAAUAUUCCUGUACUUGGUGUUACUGCGAAGGGGGGACGGAGAAGGCUAUGUUGGCCGGGCGACGGUUGUCCCGGUUUAAGCGUGUAGGCUGGUUUUCCAGGCAAAUCCGGAAAAUCAAGGCUGAGGCGUGAUGACGAGGCACUACGGUGCUGAAGCAACAAAUGCCCUGCUUCCAGGAAAAGCCUCUAAGCAUCAGGUAACAUCAAAUCGUACCCCAAACCGACACAGGUGGUCAGGUAGAGAAUACCAAGGCGCUUGAGAGAACUCGGGUGAAGGAACUAGGCAAAAUGGUGCCGUAACUUCGGGAGAAGGCACGCUGAUAUGUAGGUGAAGCGACUUGCUCGUGGAGCUGAAAUCAGUCGAAGAUACCAGCUGGCUGCAACUGUUUAUUAAAAACACAGCACUGUGCAAACACGAAAGUGGACGUAUACGGUGUGACGCCUGCCCGGUGCCGGAAGGUUAAUUGAUGGGGUUAGCGGUAACGCGAAGCUCUUGAUCGAAGCCCCGGUAAACGGCGGCCGUAACUAUAACGGUCCUAAGGUAGCGAAAUUCCUUGUCGGGUAAGUUCCGACCUGCACGAAUGGCGUAAUGAUGGCCAGGCUGUCUCCACCCGAGACUCAGUGAAAUUGAACUCGCUGUGAAGAUGCAGUGUACCCGCGGCAAGACGGAAAGACCCCGUGAACCUUUACUAUAGCUUGACACUGAACAUUGAGCCUUGAUGUGUAGGAUAGGUGGGAGGCUUUGAAGUGUGGACGCCAGUCUGCAUGGAGCCGGCCUUGAAAUACCACCCUUUAAUGUUUGAUGUUCUAACGUUGGCCCCUGAUCGGGGUUGCGGACAGUGUCUGGUGGGUAGUUUGACUGGGGCGGUCUCCUCCUAAAGAGUAACGGAGGAGCACGAAGGUUGGCUAAUCCUGGUCGGACAUCAGGAGGUUAGUGCAAUGGCAUAAGCCAGCUUGACUGCGAGCGUGACGGCGCGAGCAGGUGCGAAAGCAGGUCAUAGUGAUCCGGUGGUUCUGAAUGGAAGGGCCAUCGCUCAACGGAUAAAAGGUACUCCGGGGAUAACAGGCUGAUACCGCCCAAGAGUUCAUAUCGACGGCGGUGUUUGGCACCUCGAUGUCGGCUCAUCACAUCCUGGGGCUGAAGUAGGUCCCAAGGGUAUGGCUGUUCGCCAUUUAAAGUGGUACGCGAGCUGGGUUUAGAACGUCGUGAGACAGUUCGGUCCCUAUCUGCCGUGGGCGCUGGAGAACUGAGGGGGCUGCUCCUAGUACGAGAGGACCGGAGUGGACGCAUCACUGGUGUUCGGGUUGUCAUGCCAAUGGCACUGCCCGGUAGCUAAAUGCGGAAGAGAUAAGUGCUGAAAGCAUCUAAGCACGAAACUUGCCCCGAGAUGAGUUCUCCCUGAGACUUUAAGUCUCCUGAAGGAACGUUGAAGACGACGACGUUGAUAGGCCGGGUGUGUAAGCGCAGCGAUGCGUUGAGCUAACCGGUACUAAUGAACCGUGAGGCUUAACCUUACAACGCCGAAGGUGUUU